GUUAAAAAAAAAAAAUGAUCUUAAAGACACUGCAUAGAGAUAUGGCUUAAAUGUAAGGUACUGACAGAAUCAAUGACCUAUAGAUGGUAUAAUUCACAUAUUACUAUUCUUUUUCAGCACUCCUUAUAAAAAUGAAUGAGUAAAUAAAUAGCUACAAGAAAACCACAGAAGCAGGGCUAUGACCCAGAAGGAUAACAGGAGAGAAGGUGAACAGGCAGCCAGCUGGUUCAGCACAUCAAGUCGCAGAACAGAAGACCACCAAGAAAGAACCGGUCCAGUUCUGUUCACGGAAUGAUGGAAAAAAUAGGACACUGUUAUGAAGUCAAGCUCCUUCAUGAAGUACUUUGCUGAAUUUCAAAGCAAAAAAAGUACCAUUCAUUUUUUUUCUGCAACUGGCUGGAUUUUUAAACUGUAUCCAUCACUCACUGUAAUCACAGGAAAUCAGCUCAAAAACUUAUUCUUGCGUCUAUUUUUUCCCCUGAGGCCACAAUACCUAUGAAAUGAAAUGCUGAUGUAUUAGUACCAUGUUUUAGCGGUUUCUAACAUACAGUCAAAAUCACUCAAUGCUUCCCAGAGUUACUGCACAAGAAAUACACCAACAAUUAAACAGAGUGUUAAGUAUCUGAUCUGCAAGAGACCUUACAAGGUUAGAUCAGUUUACUUUCCAAAGCUGGUUGUUUUUGCAUGAAAUGUACUCAUGAUCCUAUGUCUUCAUGUCAGCCUUACUGAUACGAAUUAAGACUUACUAGAACACACACCCACAAAUGGACUUUUCUUAAAGAAUCAAGGUUUCCUUUUUAUUCCUUUAGCACAAAACUUCACCGAUCAUCUUACUAGAACAACUUUCAAAAGUGAUUGCUGUGAAUAUCAUUGAAGUCACAUUUAUGGAGCGAAUUUCCCAAAAACCAGACCAUGCAAAAAUCGAAAACAGUUUGAAAAGAAUCAUAAAAAAAUUACCUAGCUCAAAUCUUUUAUUUCACAGAUAUAGAAACUAAAACUGUUGUGAAGUUAACAGUGUUUGCCUCUAAAGUCAACUGCUAGUUAAUUAAUGAAAAAGGACCAAGAUGUAUGUUAAGACCAGGUUCUUUCUCCUGAACUGAACUUCCCUAUAAAAUAUACAAUAAAUUAUAUAUGUGUGUGUGUA